rnacentral:rRNA from 1 species
UUCGUAGGUGGUGCGGCAAGUUGGGAGUGAAAUCUCUGGGCUUAACUCAGAGGCUGCUUUCAAAACUGCCGUGCUCGAGUGCGAGAGAGGCCAGUGGAAUUGCAGGUGUAGCGGUGAAAUGCGUAGAUAUCUGCAGGAACACCCGUGGCGAAGGCGGCUGGCUGGAUCGCAACUGACACUGAGGAACGAAAGCUAGGGGAGCAAACAGGAUUAGAUACCCUGGUAGUCCUAGCCCUAAACCAUCAGAACUUGGGGUGGCUCGCGUAGGCGGGUCGUCCCGUAGCUAACGCGUUAAGUUCUGCGCCUGGGGAGUACGGUCGCAAGACUGAA